rnacentral:rRNA from 1 species
UAGUCCACGCCGUAAACGAUGUCUACUAGCCGUUGGGGAACUUGAUUCCUUAGUGGCGCAGCUAACGCACUAAGUAGACCGCCUGGGGAGUACGGCCGCAAGGUUAAAACUCAAAUGAAUUGACGGGGCCCGCACAAGCGGUGGAGCAUGUGGUUUAAUUCGAUGCAACGCGAAGAACCUUACCAGGCCUUGACAUCCUAGGAAUCUUUGAGAGAUCAGAGAGUGCCUUCGGGAAUCUAGUGACAGGUGCUGCAUGGCUGUCGUCAGCUCGUGUCGUGAGAUGUUGGGUUAAGUCCCGUAACGAGCGCAACCCUUGUCCUUAGUUGCCAGCACAUAAUGGUGGGAACUCUAGGGAGACUGCCGGUGACAAACCGGGAGGAAGGUGGGGACGACGUCAAGUCAUCAUGGCCCUUACGGGCCUGGGGCUACACACGUGCUACAAUGGGGCAGUACAGAGGGUCGCGAAAUCGCGAGAUGGGAGCCAAUCCCUUAAAAACUGUUCGUAGUCCGGGAUUGGGA